rnacentral:rRNA from 1 species
UACGUAGGUGGCGAGCGUUAUCCGGAAUUAUUGGGCGUAAAGAGCGCGCAGGUGGUUGAUUAAGUCUGAUGUGAAAGCCCACGGCUUAACCGUGGAGGGUCAUUGGAAACUGGUCGACUUGAGUGCAGAAGAGGGAAGUGGAAUUCCAUGUGUAGCGGUGAAAUGCGUAGAGAUAUGGAGGAACACCAGUGGCGAAGGCGGCUUCCUGGUCUGUAACUGACACUGAGGCGCGAAAGCGUGGGGAGCAAACAGGAUUAGAAACCCGGGUA